UACGUAGGUGACAAGCGUUGUCCGGAUUUACUGGGCGUAAAGAGCGCGCAGGCGGUCGUUCAAGUCGAGUGUGAAAGCCCCCGGCUCAACUGGGGAGGGUCAUUCGAUACUGAUCGACUCGAAGGCAGGAGAGGGUAGUGGAAUUCCCGGUGUAGUGGUGAAAUGCGUAGAGAUCGGGGGGAACACCCGUGGCGUAGGCGGCCAGCUGGGCCGUCCCUGACACUGAGGCGCGAAGGCGUGGGGAGCGAACGGG
rnacentral:rRNA from 1 species